AACGAACGCUGGCGGCAUGCCUAACACAUGCAAGUCGAACGAGACCUUCGGGCUUAGUGGCGCACGGGUGCGUAACGCGUGGGAACCUGCCCUUAGGUUCGGAAUAACUCCCCGAAAGGGGUGCUAAUACCGGAUAAUGUCUUCGGACCAAAGAUUUAUCGCCUUUGGAUGGGCCCGCGUUGGAUUAGCCAGUUGGUAGGGUAAAAGCCUACCAAGGCGAGGAUCCAUAGCUGGUCUGAGAGGAUGAUCAGCCACACUGGGACUGAGACACGGCCCAGACUGCUACGGGAGGGAGCAGUGGGGAAUAUUGGACAAUGGGCGAAAGCCUGAUCCAGCAAUGCCGGGUGAGAGAGGAAGGGCUUAGGGUUGUAAAGCUCUUUUAGACGGGAUGAUAAUGACAGUAACGGGAGAAUAAGCUCCGGCUAACUCCGUG
rnacentral:rRNA from 1 species